UGACCAUACCAAACUGUUGCCUCGGCGGGGUCACGCCCCGGGUGCGUCGCAGCCCCGGAACCAGGCGCCCGCCGGAGGGACCAACCAAACUCUUUCUGUAGUCCCCUCGCGGACGUUAUUUCUUACAGCUCUGAGCAAAAAUUCAAAAUGAAUCAAAACUUUCAACAACGGAUCUCUUGGUUCUGGCAUCGAUGAAGAACGCAGCGAAAUGCGAUAAGUAAUGUGAAUUGCAGAAUUCAGUGAAUCAUCGAAUCUUUGAACGCACAUUGCGCCCGCCAGUAUUCUGGCGGGCAUGCCUGUCCGAGCGUCAUUUCAACCCUCGAACCCCUCCGGGGGGUCGGCGUUGGGGAUCGGGAACCCCUAAGACGGGAUCCCGGCCCCGAAAUACAGUGGCGGUCUCGCCGCAUCCUCUCAUGCGCAGUAGUUUGCACAACUCGCACCGGGAGCGCGGCGCGUCCACGUCCGUAAAACACCCAACUUCUGAAAUGUUGACCUCGGAUCAGGUAUGAAUA
rnacentral:rRNA from 1 species